CAUACUUUUUAGCUCAACCUUUGAACAUAUCUUUUACAGUGAAAUUUUAUUAAACUUGCUGGAGAAACCCUAGUUCUCGGUGAGCCACCACUCUGGCCACCAACACUGCCUAUCUAAUCUAUCUGCCACCCCCUCUGCGCCGAUCUCCACCACACCACACCACACCACACCAUUCCAGUGAGUUCUACCACCGCCCAUACAACAUCCCCCUCUCUCUAGGGUUUAAGGCUAGAUUCAACCUGAAAAGCAAAGGGCUCGCUAGUUUUGUAAGACUUGUUGGUGUAGAAACCCUAGAACGCCUAUUCAAUUAGCUUGAGGGGGUAGAUCUAGAGCCUAUAUUUUCUGUUUUCCAAUUUUCCCUUUGUUUUGGGAUGUUUCGAGACCUUGUUAGGGUUUUAGGCGGUGUCUUUUGGCGCAAAACUUGACGAGUUCUGUACUUAAUGUUUCAAAAUCUUGCACGGUAUAGAAACAUUAAUGAAGAUGUUCGCGUUUCUCAACAUGUUCAUGAUCAUGGGUUGAAUCACUACCAAAUAUUUCAAGCACAAAUCAGUUAAACCACGCAAAGAGAUCACCAUUAAGAUGAAAAAAGAGGAGUAAUUUUCUGGAUUGCUACCACAUAUAUUGGUUUGACGAUAGCAUGCAUCUUUGCAAACUGUUUGCAUAUAUAGAAUAUGAAAUAUAGAAGAUGCAGAAAUAAAGAUAUGUCCUUUAUCGUAAUUUGCUUGUAGUUGCUCACCAAGUUUCUUAUGCUCAAAAUUGUAUCAAAUACAAUCUUAGCAAAGACCAUGUUGAUUAAUGAACAUGUUGAUUACCAUAUCGAAAUAGUUUAGAAGAUAAUUAGGAAUAAUAACUUUUCUGUUUUUAGAGGGUGUUUGUUUUUUUGUGAAAAGUACUUCUAGACCUCUUAUGUCUUCCUCACGCAGACCACGUGCAGACGUUUGAGUCUGCAGUGUGUUUGUUUUUGGGAAGUGAUUUCAUUAAAAAAAGCUCUUCUAAA